rnacentral:rRNA from 1 species
CCGCCGGCGACCGGCGCACGGGUGAGUAACACGUAUGCAACCUGGCCGUGACAGAUGGAUAACCGGGAGAAAUCCCGCCUAAUACAACAUAAUGCCGGGAGGGGACAUCCCCUGCCGGCCAAAGGGGCGACCCCGGUCACGGAUGGGCAUGCGGCGCAUUAGGUAGUUGGUGGGGCAACGGCCCACCAAGCCGACGAUGCGUAGGGGUUCUGAGAGGAAGGUCCCCCACAUUGGAACUGAGACACGGUCCAAACUCCUACGGAAGGCAGCAG